rnacentral:rRNA from 1 species
UAUCAACGCUGGCGGCGUGCCUAACACAUGCAAGUCGAACGCGGUUACCCCGCAAGGGGUAACUGAGUGGCGAACGGGUGAGUAACACGUGGGUGACCUACCUUCGAAUGGGGGAUAACGUCCCGAAAGGGACGCUAAUACCGCAUAACAUCCUGCCUUUGAACAGGUGGAGAUCAAAGCCGGGGAUCGCAAGACCUGGCGUUUGAAGAGGGGCCCGCGUCCGAUUAGCUAGUUGGUGAGGUAACGGUUCACCAGGGCGACGAUCGGUAGCCGGCCUGAGAGGGCGGACGGCCACACUGGGACUGAGACACGGCCCAGACUCCUACGGGAGGCAGCAGUGGGGAAUUGUUCGCAAUGGGCGCAAGCCUGACGACGCAACGCCGCGUGGAGGAUGAAGGUCUUCGGAUUGUAAACUCCUGUUGCCCGGGACGAAUAGCUCCGACCUAACACGUCGGAGUCUGACGGUACCGGGUGAGGAAGCCCCGGCUAACUCUGUGCCAGCAGCCGCGGUAAUACAGAGGGGCC